ACCUUACAGCUGUGAGUUGUGUGGAAAGUCUUUUACCCAGGCUGGAGGUUUAAAAACACACCAACUCCUCCACAGUGGAUAUAAAGCAUACAGCUGUGAGUUGUGUGGUAAAGCUUUUGCUCAAAGUAGAAACUUACAGAAGCAUCUAGUUACCCACUCUGGAAUUAAGGCGUACAGCUGCGACUUUUGUGGAAAAAGUUUCAGUGACAAACACUACCGAAAUAUUCACCUACGGAUUCACACUGGAAAUGAUGUUUACUGCUGUGAUCAGUGUGGGAAACUGUUUGCAACAGAUGCACAAUUAAAACUACACAUGUUUAGCCACACUGAGGAGAGACCUUAUAAAUGUGACCUGUGUGAGAAGACUUUUAAAUCUCCAUAUCACCUGAAUAUCCACCAACGGAUCCACACCACAAAAUAACUCUACAACUGCAGUUACUGUGAGAAGCAGAGCGACGCAGAUGGAUCCAGUUCUCAACCCUGUCGUCACUGGUGGUGGGAAAGAGUUUCUCUGUGACCUUUGUGAAAAAACUUCAAUCAUCAACAGGACCUAAAACCACAUCAACGUAGACACACUGGAGACAAAAUGAACUAAUGUAAAGAAUGUGGGAGAGGCUUCCCCACACCAAGUACAUUAAAAAUACAUGAAGUCUUCCACAGUGGGGUCAAAAAGCACAUCUGUGACUAGUGUGGGUCAUCCUUCACCACUGCACGUGAGCUUAAAGAAAAAGCAUAAGGGAAUCCACACAGGAGAGACACCAUACAAGUGCAGACACUGUGACAAAAGCUUCUCACAAUCAGGUCAUCGUAACAAACAUGAAUGUACACACAUGGAAGUGAACUUCAGCUGUGACCAGUGUGACAAGACCUUCAGGAAUGUCAGUUCAUACUCCGAACACAAAGAAUUCCACACUGUAAAUAAACUGUUUCACUGUUACCAAUGUGCAAAAACAUUCACUUCAUUAUCUGCUCUGUGCAAA